AACGAACGCUGGCGGCAGGCUUAACACAUGCAAGUCGAGCGCCCCGCAAGGGGAGCGGCAGACGGGAGAGUAACGCGUGGGAAUCUACCCAUCUCUACGGAAUAACGCAUGGAAACGUGUGCUAAUACCGUAUACGUCCUUCGGGAGAAAGAUUUAUCGGAGAUGGAUGAGCCUGCGUUGGAUUAGCUAGUUGGUGGGGUAAAGGCCUACCAAGGCGACGAUCCAUAGCUGGUCUGAGAGGAUGAUCAGCCACACUGGGACUGAGACACGGCCCAGAGUCCUACGGGAGGCAGCAGUGGGGAAUAUUGGACAAUGGGCGCAAGCCUGAUCCAGCCAUGCCGCGUGAGUGAUGAAGGCCCUAGGGUUGUAAAGCUCUUUCACCGGUGAAGAUAAUGACGGUAACCGGAGAAGAAGCCCCGGCUAACUUCGUGCCAGCCGCCGCCGUAAAAC
rnacentral:rRNA from 1 species